GAUGAACGCUGGCGGCGUGCCUAAUACAUGCAAGUCGAGCGAACGGACGAGAAGCUUGCUUCUCUGAUGUUAGCGGCGGACGGGUGAGUAACACGUGGAUAACCUACCUAUAAGACUGGGAUAACUUCGGGAAACCGGAGCUAAUACCGGAUAAUAUUUUGAACCGCAUGGUUCAAAAGUGAAAGACAGUCUUGCUGUCACUUAUAGAUGGAUCCGCGCUGCAUUAGCUAGUUGGUAAGGUAACGGCUUACCAAGGCAACGAUGCAUAACCGACCUGAGAGGGUGCACGGCCACACUGGGACUGAGACACGGUCCAGACUCCUACGGGAGGCAGCAGUAGGGAAUCUUCCGCAAUGGGCGAAAGCCUGACGGAGCAACGCCGCGUGAGUGAUGAAGGUCUUCGGAUCGUAAAACUCUGUUAUUAGGGAAGAACAUAUGUGUAAGUAACUGUGCACAUCUUGACGGUACCUAAUCAGAAAGCCACGGCUAACUACGUG
rnacentral:rRNA from 1 species